rnacentral:rRNA from 1 species
GUGUCAGCAGCCGCGGUAAUACGGGGGGGGCAAGCGUUGUUCGGAAUUACUGGGCGUAAAGGGCGCGUAGGCGGCUUUUCAAGUCGGGCGUGAAAUCUCCGGGCUUAACCCGGAAGGGUCGUUCGAUACUGUUGAGCUAGAGUGUGGAAGAGGCAACUAGAAUUCCGUGUGUAGCGGUGAAAUGCGUAGAUAUACGGAGGAAUACCUGAGGCGAAGGCGGGUUGCUGGGCCAACACUGACGCUGAUGCGCGAAAGCCAGGGGAGCAAACGGGAUUAGAUACCCCAGUAGUCC